AUGGAGAUGCGGUCCCAGGCUCAGCUGCUCUUUGUCCGGUUGCUCUCAAUCCCAGAUGCCAGAGGGGCCAUUGGCCUCGCCCAGUCUCCAGCCUUCCUGUCUGUGUCUCCAGAAGAGACAGUUACCUUGUCCUGCAGGGCCAGUCAGGGCAUUAGCAAUUACCUACACUGGCACCAACAGAAAGCAGGCCAGGUUCCCAGUCUCAUCAUUAGAUAUGCUUCCACCCUGCACUCUGGAGCCCCAUCAUGGUUCAGUGGCAGUGGCUCUGGGACAGAUUUCUCUCUCACAAUCAGCAAUGUGGAAGCUAAGGAUGGUGCAGUCUACUACUGUCACCAGGAAUAUAGAUGGCCUCCCACAGUGCUACAGCUCUGA